ensembl:misc_RNA Metazoa_SRP Metazoan signal recognition particle RNA
GCCGGGCGCGGUGGCGCAUACUUGUAGUCCCAGCUAUUUGGGAGGCUGAGGUGGGAGGAUCGCUUGAGCCCAGGAGAUCUGGGCUGUAGUGCGCUAUGCUGAUUGGGUAUCUGCACUAAGUUCAGCAUCAAUAUGGUAACCUCCUGGGAGUUGGGGACCACCAGGUUGCCUAAUGAGGGGUGAACCAGCCAAGGAUGGAAACGGAGCAGGUCAAAACUCCUGUGCUGAUCUGUAGUGGGAUAGUGCCUGUGAAUAGCCACUGCACUCCAGCCUGGACAACAUAGCAAGACCCCAUCUCU